UUCGCCCGGGAACAACGAGCCCCAGCUUAAAACCCAAAGGACUUGGCGGUGCUUUAGACCCCCCUAGAGGAGCCUGUUCUAGAACCGAUACUCCCCGUUCAACCUCACCCUUUCUUGUUUUUCCCGCCUAUAUACCGCCGUCGUCAGCUUACCCCAUGAGGGACCAAUAGUAAGCAAAAUUGGUAAAGCCCAAAACGUCAGGUCGAGGUGUAGCGAACGAAAGGGGAAGAAAUGGGCUACAUUUACUGACCCAGUAAAUACGAAUGUUGCACUGAAACAAGCAUAUGAAGGAGGAUUUAGCAGUAAGAAGGGAAUAGAGAGCCCCCCUGAAAACGGCCCUGAAGCGCGCACACACCGCCCGUCACUCUCCCCAAAAAACAACAAACAUAACUAAUAAACCAAAAAACAAAAGGGGAGGCAAGUCGUAACAUGGUAAGUGUACCGGAAGGUGCACUUGGAAAAACC
rnacentral:rRNA from 1 species